GGCGGUUCUCAGGUGACGCACCCUGGAAUCGGGCUCCCUCCUCUCUGGUUCUGGGUGUGUCAUCUGAGAACCGCA
rfam:Myotis brandtii contig262253, whole genome shotgun sequence.